rnacentral:rRNA from 1 species
GACGAACGCUGGCGGCGUGCUUAACACAUGCAAGUCGAACGGAAAGGCCCUGCUUUUGUGGGGUGCUCGAGUGGCGAACGGGUGAGUAACACGUGAGUAACCUGCCCUUGACUUUGGGAUAACUUCAGGAAACUGGGGCUAAUACCGGAUAGGAGCUCCUGCGGCAUGGUGGGGGUUGGAAAGUUUCGGCGGUUGGGGAUGGACUCGCGGCUUAUCAGCUUGUUGGUGGGGUAGUGGCUUACCAAGGCUUUGACGGGUAGCCGGCCUGAGAGGGGGACCGGCCACAUUGGGACUGAGAUACGGCCCAGACUCCUACGGGAGGCAGCAGUGGGGAAUAUUGCACAAUGGGCGGAAGCCUGAUGCAGCAACGCCGCGUGCGGAAUGACGGCCUUCAGGUUGUAAACCGCUUUCGCCUGUGACGAAGCGUGAGUGACGGUAAUGGGUAAAGAAGCACCGGCUAACUACGUG